rnacentral:snRNA from 1 species
GGAUGUGAGGGAAAUCUGGAUGUGACAUCUGUCACCCUAUUGAUCACCAGGGUUGAUUCUGCUGAUGACUGGCUAGGCAGGGGUCCCCUUCCUCCCUACUGCUCCAUGUGCAUCCCUCCUGAAGCUGUGUGCUCAGUGGAAGAGGACGACCUUCCCCGAAUAGAAGAGCACCAGUCUUUGGUCAAGGGUAUACGAGUAGCUGCGCUCCCCUGCUAGAAUGCCCAAACAAGCUCUCAAAAUACAAUAGAAAAGCCAGGUGUGGUAGUGCACAUGCCUUUAAUCCCAGCACUAGGGAGGCAGAGGUAG